rnacentral:rRNA from 1 species
AUUGAACGCUGGCGGCAGGCUUAACACAUGCAAGUCGAACGAGUGGCGGACGGGUGAGUAAUGCUUGGGAAUCUAGCUUAUGGAGGGGGAUAACUACGGGAAACUGUAGCUAAUACCGCGUACCAUAGGAUGAGCCCAAGUGGGCUUAGGUAGUUGGUGGGGUAAAGGCUCACCAAGCCUACGAUCUCUAGCUGGUCUGAGAGGAUGACCGGCCACCCUUGGACUGAGAAACGGCCCAGACUCCUACGAGAGGCAGCAGUGGGGAAUAUGGCGCAAUGGGGGCAACCUGACGCAGCCAUGCCGCGGGAAUGAAGAAGGCCUUCGGAUUGGAAAGUUCUUUCGGAAGCGAGGCGUUAACUACAGAAGAAGCACCGGCUAACUCCGUGCCAGCAGCCGCGGUAAUUC